rnacentral:rRNA from 1 species
AGCGGCGGACGGGUGAGUAACACGUGGGUAACCUGCCCAAGAGACUGGGAUAACACCUGGAAACAGAUGCUAAUACCGGAUAACAACACUAGACGCAUGUCUAGAGUUUGAAAGAUGGUUCUGCUAUCACUCUUGGAUGGACCUGCGGUGCAUUAGCUAGUUGGUAAGGUAACGGCUUACCAAGGCAAUGAUGCAUAGCCGAGUUGAGAGACUGAUCGGCCACAUUGGGACUGAGACACGGCCCAAACUCCUACGGGAGGCAGCAGUAGGGAAUCUUCCACAAUGGACGAAAGUCUGAUGGAGCAACGCCGCGUGAGUGAAGAAGGGUUUCGGCUCGUAAAGCUCUGUUGGUAGUGAAGAAAGAUAGAGGUAGUAACUGGCCUUUAUUUGACGGUAAUUACUUAGAAAGUCACGGCUAACUACGUGCCAGCAGCCGCGGUAAUACGUAGGUGGCAAGCGUUGUCCGGAUUUAUUGGGCGUAAAGCGAGUGCAGGCGGUUCAAUAAGUCUGAUGUGAAAGCCUUCGGCUCAACCGGAGAAUUGCAUCAGAAACUGUUGAACUUGAGUGCAGAAGAGGAGAGUGGAACUCCAUGUGUAGCGGUGGAAUGCGUAGAUAUAUGGUAGAACACCAGUGGCGAAGGCGGCUCUCUGGUCUGCAACUGACGCUGAGGCUCGAAAGCAUGGGUAGCGAACAGGAUUAGAUACCCUGGUAGUCCAUGCCGUAAACGAUGAGUGCUAAGUGU